CCACCAUCCGCCAGAGGACUACAAAUGAAAAACUUAAAACUCUAAGGACUUGACGGUGUCCCACACCGUCCUAGAGGAGCCUGUCCCCUAAUCGAUACUCCACGCUAAACCUUUCCCCCUCUGGCACCAAAUCAGCCUAUAUACCGCCGUCGCCAGCUCGCCUAAUGAUAGACAACAAAGCAAGCAAAAUAGUCCCACACACUAAUACGUCAGGUCAAGGUGUAGCUAAUGGGGGGGGCUAAAAGAUGGGCUACAUUUUCUUCCCACUAGAAAACUACCACAGGCCAUGUGAAACCUACGCCACCCGGCGGAUUUAGCAGUAAAUCCUGGCAAGACAUGCCUAAUUGAAACCUGCUCUGGGACGCGUACACACCGCCCGUCACCCUCUUCGACCGACCCAAACCCCUCUAACAUAUAACCAUUUCCCCCACCCUAGACGAGGCAAGUCGUAACAUGGUAAGCCUACCGGAAGGUGGGCUUGGCCAACCAC
rnacentral:rRNA from 1 species